rnacentral:rRNA from 1 species
UACGGGGGGGGCAAGCGUUGUUCGGAAUUACUGGGCGUAAAGGGCGCGUAGGCGGUUCGCUAAGUUGAAUGUGAAAACUCUGGGCUUAACCCAGAGCCUGCAUUCAAUACUGGCGGGCUAGAGUUCUGGAGGGGAUAGCGGAAUUCCUGGUGUAGCGGUGAAAUGCGUAGAUAUCAGGAGGAACACCGAUGGCGAAGGCAGGUCUCUGGGCCACUACUGACGCUGAGAAGCGAAAGCGUGGGGAGCGAACAGG